UCUUUAUUAGUGAGACGCUAU
rnacentral:snRNA from 1 species